AUUGAACGCUGGCGGCAUGCCUAACACAUGCAAGUCGAACGGGGGCAGCAAUGCCCUAGUGGCGGACGGGUGAGGAAUACGUAGGAACCGGCCCACGAGUGGGGGACAACCUGGGGAAACCCAGGCUAAUACCGCAUACGCUCGCGAGAGGAAAGCGGGGGGACCUUCGGGCCUCGCGCUGGUGGACGGGCCUACGUCCGAUUAGCUCGUUGGUGGGGUAAAAGCCUACCAAGGCGACGAUCGGUAGCUGGUCUGAGAGGAUGAUCAGCCACACUGGGACUGAGACACGGCCCAGACUCCUACGGGAGGCAGCAGUGGGGAAUAUUGGACAAUGGGCGCAAGCCUGAUCCAGCAAUGCCGCGUGGGUGAAGAAGGCCUGCGGGUUGUAAAGCCCUUUAAGCGGGGAGGGAAAGCCGGGGGGGUGGAAUACCCGGUGAGGCUGAGAGUACCUGAAGAAUAAGCACCGGCGUAACUACGUGCCAGCAGCCGCGGU
rnacentral:rRNA from 1 species